rnacentral:rRNA from 1 species
UACAGAGGGUGCAAGCGUUAAUCGGAAUUACUGGGCGUAAAGCGUGCGUAGACGGUUAUUUAAGUCAGGUGUGAAAGCCCCGGGCUCAACCUGGGAAUUGCAUUUGAGACUGAAUAGCUAGGGUGCGGAAGAGGGAAGCGGAAUUCCUGGUGUAGCGGUGAAAUGCGUAGAGAUCAGGAGGAACACCUGUGGUGUAGACAGCUUACUGGACGGUCACUGACGCUGAGGCACGAAAGCGUGGGUAGCAAACAGG